rnacentral:misc_RNA from 1 species
GAAAUGCGAUAAGUAAUGUGAAUUGCAGAAUUCAGUGAAUCAUCGAAUCUUUGAACGCACAUUGCGCCCCCUGGUAUUCCGGGGGGCAUGCCUGUUCGAGCGUCAUUUCACCACUCAAGCCUCGCUUGGUAUUGGGCAACGCGGUCCGCCGCGUGCCUCAAAUCGACCGGCUGGGUCUUCUGUCCCCUAAGCGUUGUGGAAACUAUUCGCUAAAGGGUGCUCGGGAGGCUACGCCGUAAAACAACCCCAUUUCUAAGGUUGACCUCGGAUCAGGUAGGGAUACCCGCUGUACUUAAGC